CUCAGUGGUAGGCGUCAAAACUUAUAGACCGAUGACAACGAGAACGUACGGGGAUUGCUCGGGUCGACACCGUAUGAGAUUUGGGCGCCGGCGACAUAUGCCUCGUCCAGGACGUUCUCAAUAUUGGCCCGGAAUUGCCAGUGGCGGUUGAGUCUAUACGUGGCAAACAGGUUCACGAGGUUGCCCGGUUCUGCCUCGAUAAACGCCUGGCCGGGGACUCCGGUGACAUAGGCGCCCACCGCCAGCACGCGUCCACUGAUCCGCGAGUAGCCGACUCCGAAGCCGAGGCCCUUGAGCGAAUCGCCCU
rnacentral:misc_RNA from 1 species